CCCAUUACUGUCCCAUAAUAGUCAUAUAUAUUACCUUCCAAGUUCUAUUGGAAACGUGAUAUGGACUUGAAGGGUAAUUUGUCAGCAAGCACUGUCGAAAGCUAAAUUUUUAUGUGUUCCUAAGUAUACACAAACCUAAAAUUCUCCAUCAGAAUUAGACUAAAUCCAUCAUCAUACCAAUUAGUGUCUAGUGAUGUAUUAAAGUCUCCUUAUUCAGAGGCUCAUCAUAUCUUUAAAAUAAGUGCAGGAUUGAAUGCAACACAUGACAAAUCAUUAUUUAAUUACAGGAGAAAAAUGCAAUAUUGCAAAAGCUGAUGGAUUUAACACUAGAAAGCAAAUUGCAGGAAGAACUAACAACCACUUUGGAACAUUUAGG